CAGCCGCGGUAAUACGUAGGGCGCGAGCGUUGUCCGGAUUUAUUGGGCGUAAAGAGCUCGUAGGCGGCUCAUUGCGUCAACCGUGAAAACCAGCAGCUCAACUGUUGGCUUGCGGUUGAUACGGGUGGGCUGGAGUUCGAUAGGGGAGACUGGAAUUCCUGGUGUAGCGGUGAAAUGCGCAGAUAUCAGGAGGAACACCGGUGGCGAAGGCGGGUCUCUGGGCCGAUACUGACGCUGAGGAGCGAAAGCGUGGGGAGCGAACAGGAUUAGAUACCCUGGUAGUCCACGCUGUAAACGUUGGGCGCUAGGUGUGGGGGGCCUCUCCGGUUUCCUGCGCCGUAGCUAACGCAUUAA
rnacentral:rRNA from 1 species